AGUCUGGAGGGUUCGCUGCAAUCAGUGCUACAGCUUUAGAAACUGUGAUUUACUGCUGAUUUAAAACUCUUUAAAGAGCCGACUUCCUGCCGAUGGGGCUGAGGGAAGAGCGGCAGGCGCAGUGCUGGCAGAGACUCCGGCAGGGCCUCGUGCGGGGGCCGGGAGCAGCGCCUUCUUUUUAGGAAACGACGCUUCAGGCUCAGGCCCGUCCAUGCUCCUCUCCCGUGUGAGUGCAGAGAAGGUCCUGGGUUCUGUCUGCUGCUUCACUCUGGGGAAGCUGAUGGAACUGCCGCCAUUUCCCAAAGUAAAGGAGGUGAGCUCUGGGGUGGGUGAGGUUUCAUCGGUAGCCCGGCCUCCGUGGAUCGCUGCAUGAGCCGGGAAGCUUAUCAGCGACUGAGCUGGCCGUGUUUAGGAGGACGGGGUGAUGCCACUGACACUGAGGGAGGCGUGAAGCCUGAGACGCGCCUGUGAGACCGGGACCGGUGGGGCCGGCGCGCGCCCAGAUUCCAGCUCUGCCCCAGGAGCCUGAAGCCCCCAGCAACCUGCAGUGUGGGCUCUGAGAAACUCGGUGAAACAGGGCUUCCCUGCAGGUGGCCAGCGGAUGGGACAAUCAGGGCAGACUUGGAGGUCUCUGAAGUCUUGGAAAGUCUGAAGGGCAGGCCAGCCUGGGAGAUGGAGGACACACUGGAGUGGCAGGUGCCUCGGGCGGCCGGCUGAGCACCAAAGAGGGACUUCUCACACACAGGUCCGCUUGGUCUCCUACACGCUUGCCCACGCGCUCCGUGGAUGCAGGAGCCGUGGUUAUCCUUGGCAGAAGGUUGAGUAGCACCUGCCUUGCCAGGGACCUGCUCCAAGCAGGCACGUCUGGUGAAUGCUGUGCCAGGCCCUUCCGGGAGCAGCCCCUCCCCGGGUGCCGGGGUCACCUGGCUCUGCCUGCCUGCAUGUGGAUCCCUGCGGGGCAGCGGGCACCCGGAUGACGUGGUUUUCCCUCACUGGAUUGGAGUGGAGUGAAUUUAACCCCCUCGUGGCUGCCAUCAUUUUCACUGUGAGGGAAGAGCAGCCGUGCCGUGGUGGUUUUAGAUGUCGUCUGUGGAGGACAUCAGGCUGACAUCCACGUCCUGGACUCCCCCUCGUUUGGUUUCAGAAUUUCUCUUAAAGACAACAUCAUAUUGUGACCCCAAAGCAUUCGAUAGAAAUAUCAAAAUUUUAAGGCACUUUGAGAAUUAAGAUAAAAUAUCUGUAAAUAUUAUGUCAAAUUUCACCA
ensembl:lncRNA novel transcript